rnacentral:tRNA from 1 species
UGGCUGAGCGGUUAAGCGCUUGGCUUCCGAACAGGAGUAAACGGGUUCGAAUCCCGGU